rnacentral:lncRNA from 1 species
UCUUAAAUGGAUGUAAAUUGCCACCUCUACUUACGACAAUGAUGUUGAAAUGUUACUUACCAGUAGUUCCGGUUAGAUGUAUCAGGUACUGUUGACCCUUUAGCGUUGCUGGAGAAGAUAUCAAAGAAUGGAAUAUCACAAGAUGUUUGGCGAAGAAGAACCGGUCUAUAACCGUCGGGUCAUGGAAUCUGCACAACAAGUUGGUAGAAUGUCAAUGCAAUAGAC